GACGAACGCUGGCGGCGUGCCUAAUACAUGCAAGUCGAACGCAGUGGGGACGGGUGAGUAACACGUGGGUAACAUAACAUCAAAGGGGAAAACACUUGGAAACAGGUGCUAAACCGAUACUGAUGGAUGGACCCGCGGUGCAUUAGCUAGUUGGUGAGGUAACGGCUCACCAAGGCCACGAUCCAUAGCCGACCUGAGAGGGUGAUCUGCCAGACUGGGACUGAGACACGGCCCAGACUCCUACGGGAGGCAGCAGUAGGGAAUCUUCGGCAAUGGACGCAAGUCUGAUCGAGCCACGCCGCGUGAGUGAAGAAGGUUUUAGGAUCGUAAAACUCUGUUGUUAGAGAAGCGGUAGCUAACCAAAAAGCAACGGCUAACUACGUGCCAGCAGCCGCGGUAAUAC
rnacentral:rRNA from 1 species